UAAGACAGAGGUCCCAAGCGUUAGGCGGAAUCACUGGGCUUAAAGCGUGUGUAGGCGGAUUUGUAAGUACCUUGUGAAAUCCCACGGCUCAACCGUGGAACUGCUUGGUAUACUGCUUAUCUUGGGUCAUCUAGGGGCGAGCGGAACAAACGGUGGAGCGGUGAAAUGCGUAGAUAUCGUUUGGAACGCCAAUGGUGAAAACAGCUCGCUGGGGAUGUACCGACGCUGAGACACGAAAGCCAGGGGAGCGAACGGGAUUAGAUACCCCGGUAGUCCUGGCUGUAAACGAUGUCGACUAGAUCGUAGUGGCUCUGACGCUAUUACGGUCGAAGCAAAAGUGCUAAGUCGACCGCCUGGGAAGUACGGUCGCAAGGCUA
rnacentral:rRNA from 1 species